rnacentral:rRNA from 1 species
GACGAACGCUGGCGGCGCGCUUAACACAUGCAAGUCGAGCGAGAACCAGCCCUUCGGGGCUGGGGACAGCGGCGAACGGGUGAGUAACACGUGGGUAAUCUGCCCUCGGCACCGGAAUAGCCCGGGGAAACCCGGAUUAAUGCCGGACGGCAUCUCGCGCUCUCGAGCGCGUGAGACAAGGUAGCUUCGGCCUCCGGCCGCGGCUGCGCCCGCGGCCGGUUGGUUUGUUGGUGGGGUAAGGGCUCACCAAGGCGACGAUCGGUAGCUGGUCUGAGAGGACGAUCAGCCACACUGGGACUGAGACACGGCCCAGACUCCUACGGGAGGCAGCAGUGGGGAAUCUUGCGCAAUGGGCGAAAGCCUGACGCAGCGACGCCGUGUGCGGGAAGAAGGCCCUCGGGUUGUAAACCGCUUUCAGGAGGGACGAAGCCACUCAGGUUAAUAGCCGAGAGGGUGACGGUACCUCCAGAAGAAGCCCCGACUAACUACGUGCCAGCCGCCGCGGUAAGAC